rnacentral:rRNA from 1 species
ACGCUCGACACCUACGGGAGACAGCAGUGGGGAAUAUUGCACAAUGGGGGAAACCCUGAUGCAGCGAUGCCGCGUGAAGGAAGAAGUAUCUCGGUAUGUAAACUUCUAUCAGCAGGGAAGAAAAUGACGGUACCUGACUAAGAAGCCCCGGCUAACUACGUGCCACAGCCGCGGUAAUCUGAGCGGGCUGGCAAGGC